UACAGAAACUCCUUAUGGUCCUAUUACGCAUCACGGCUUAUUUCUUUGGUUGAGUAAGAUUUCCAGCUGACACAUGGUAGUUUCUAGAAGUGCUUAACCUUGAGAGGCGGCAGGACAGCGACUGGCUCACAGCAUGCCCUGCGGCUCUUCUGAUCGGCAGAAGAGAGCUUUUUCUCCCCAACUGCUGCGGCCCUGACCUUCAUCAAUCAGCCCAACACCCCAUCCUUCAGCCAAAGGAACAGCAGAUCCUUAAGAAGCGGUUUUUUUCCUUGUUUUUCUCUUGGAAUGUUCCUACCACAAGAUCAAAGCCACGCUCAGAAAAAAAUCUCUGCGUGGUAUCUUCGCUGGAAUUUUUUUUCUCAGCACAAAACAAGAAAGAGCAGCAGCGUUGGCCCCGUGGUCAGAAGCUCUUAUCCCAGAGGGCACAUCGCCACAAUGGCGAAAGAGGACGGCUCUUGACAGUGACAGCGCCACCCGGCCCCUCCAGCCUCAUCUUGCUCCUUGGGAACGAAACGUCUUGUGCUCCUAACACUCAGCUGCUGGCUCCAAGGCCUCCCCCCAGCUGGAGACACUCGGAGUAAUAGACAGCGACGACACGGAUUCCGGGCAGCGACAGCAGCCUGCUUAGAGCUUCAUUCGGCGCUUGCUUCCUCCCCCGUUUAUCUCCUAGAUUAAAACUCUCCGAAGGCAGGAGCUGCGUCUGCUUACUCUGCACGAUCCCGAAGCUCCCGGAGGGACGUUUCGGCAGGAGUGGCACAGUGUCGGAGAAGAGGGUGGAAGAGGACGGGGACACUCGCCCUCCGCAUGUCCCAGAGGAAAAAAAAUAACGUGUAACUUGGAGAUUCAGUGAAACCUUCCAGUGGACAUGAGGCUCGCUGUGCAAAUCGCAGGAACUCGGCCGCGUUUCUGUUUGUUCCACGGCAGCCGGCGUCUUGCGUGCACUCACCUGCGUCGUGUGGCAGUUCUGUCCCACACGGGCUGGGCCACCCUGCGGUAGUCCCUUGAGCCCUCCGUGUCCUCAUCUGCAAAGGAGGAAAGUGAUGUCGGCCUCACAGGGACCUUUGUAAAACACUCGGCAGAGCGCUGGAAAAAUAGGACGUGGCAUGUCAGCAGUUGCUAUUGCUUGAUGUCAUUGUCACAUGGAUAGAUCCGCCGUGGAUUUGAAAAGAGAGCUGAGAUUCUAAGUCAGAGCAGAAUGCUAUUGAAAUAGUGGUGGGUUUGGGAAUUUGGA
rnacentral:lncRNA from 1 species